GGAGGAAAGCAGGGGAUCGUAAGACCUUGCGUUAAUGGAGCGGCCGAUAUCUGAUUAGCUAGUUGGUGAGGUAAAGGCUCACCAAGGCGACGAUCAGUAGCUGGUUUGAGAGAACGACCAGCCACACUGGAACUGAGACACGGUCCAGACUCCUACGGGAGGCAGCAGUGGGGAAUUUUGGACAAUGGGGGCAACCCUGAUCCAGCCAUUCCGCGUGAGUGAAGAAGGCCUUCGGGUUGUAAAGCUCUUUCGCAAGGGAAGAAAACUUAUGAUCGAAUAAAUCAUGAGGUUGACGGUACCUUGAUAAGAAGCACCGGCUAACUACGUGCCAGCAGCCGCGGUAAUACGUAGGGUGCGAGCGUUAAUCGGAAUUACUGGGCGUAAAGCGUGCGCAGGCGGUUUUGUAAGUCGGAUGUGAAAUCCCCGGGCUCAACCUGGGAACUGCGUUUGAAACUACAAGGCUAG
rnacentral:rRNA from 1 species